rnacentral:rRNA from 2 species
GGAGUCUGCAACUCGACUCCAUGAAGUCGGAAUCGCUAGUAAUCGUAGAUCAGAAUGCUACGGUGAAUACGUUCCCGGGCCUUGUACACACCGCCCGUCACACCAUGGGAGUGGGUUGCAAAAGAAGUAGGUAGCUUAACCUUCGGGAGGGCGCUUACCACUUUGUGAUUCAUGACUGGGGUGAAGUCGUAACAAGGUAACCGUAGGGGAACCUGCGGUUGGAUCACCUCCUUACCUUAAAGAA